ACCAGGUGCAGUGGCACAUGCCUGUAAUCCCAGUGGCUUUAGAGGCUGAGACAGGAGGAUUGUUCGAGUUCAGAGCCAGCCUCAGCAAUGGUGAGGCACUAAGCAAUUCAAUGAGACCCUGUCUCUA
rnacentral:sRNA from 1 species